CUGCAAUAUCACAUUGAAAAACCAGUUCCCGUACGAUCUCCGAAGUUAAGCAACGUCGAACUUGGUCAGUAUUUACAAGGUUGACCGCUUGCGAAUAACAGGUGGUGUAAG